rnacentral:tRNA from 1 species
GCCAGGAUAGCUCAGCUGGUAGAGCAGCUGAUUCGUAAUCAGCAGGUCGGGCGUUCAAAUCGCCUUCCUGGCUCCA